rnacentral:tRNA from 1 species
AAUAAGAUGCCUGAAGUAUUAAGGACUAUUUUGAUAGAAUAGAAUAUGUAUAUAAUUAUACUCUUAUUA